AACGAACGCUGGCGGCAGGCUUAACACAUGCAAGUCGAGCGCCCCGCAAGGGGAGCGGCAGACGGGUGAGUAACGCGUGGGAAUCUACCCAUCUCUACGGAAUAACGCAUGGAAACGCGUGCUAAUACCGUAUACGUCCUUCGGGACAAAGAUUUAUCGGAGAUGGAUGAGCCCGCGUUGGAUUAGCUAGUUGGUGGGGUAAAGGCCUACCAAGGCGACGAUCCAUAGCUGGUCUGAGAGGAUGAUCAGCCACACUGGGACUGAGACACGGCCCAGACUCCUACGGGAGGCAGCAGUGGGGAAUAUUGGACAAUGGGCGCAAGCCUGAUCCAGCCAUGCCGCGUGAGUGAUGAAGGCCCUAGGGUUGUAAAGCUCUUUCACCGGUGAAGAUAAUGACGGUAACCGGAGAAGAAGCCCCGGCUAACUUCGUGCCAGCCGCCGCAGUAAUAC
rnacentral:rRNA from 1 species